UACGGAGGGUGCAAACGUUGCUCGGAAUCAUUGGGCGUAAAGCGCGCGUAGGCGGUCUUGUAAGUCGGAUGUGAAAGCCCUCGGCUCAACCGAGGAAGUGCACCCGAAACUGCAAGACUUGAGUGUCGGAGAGGGUGACGGAAUUCCCGGUGUAGCGGUGAAAUGCGUAGAGAUCGGGAGGAAGGCCGGUGGCGAAGGCGGCGCUCUGGAACAUUUCUGACGCUGAGGCUCGAAAGCGUGGGGAGCAAACAGG
rnacentral:rRNA from 1 species